UACGAGGGGUGCAAGCGUUGCUCGGAAUUAUUGGGCGUAAAGGGUAGGUAGGUGGUCUUAUUUGUCAGGGGUGAAAUCCUUGGGCUUAACUCAAGAAGUGCCCCUGAAACGGUAAGACUAGAAUCUUGGAGAGGUGAGCGGAAUUCCCGGUGUAGCGGUGAAAUGCGUAGAGAUCGGGAGGAAUACCAGCGGCGAAGGCGGCUCACUGGACAAGUAUUGACACUCAACUACGAAAGCGUGGGGAGCAAACAGG
rnacentral:rRNA from 1 species